rnacentral:rRNA from 1 species
AUUGAACGCUGGCGGCAGGCCUAACACAUGCAAGUCGAACGAGUGGCGGACGGGUGAGUAAUGUCUGGGAAACUGCCUGAUGGAGGGGGAUAACUACUGGAAACGGUAGCUAAUACCGCAUACCAUCAGAUGUGCCCAGAGGGGAUUAGCUUGUUGGUGGGGUAACGGCUCACCAAGGAGACGAUCCCUAGAUGGUGUGAGAGGAUUCCCAGCCACACUGGAACUGAGACACGGUCCAGAAUCCUACGGGAGGCAGAAGUGGGGAAUAGUGCACAAUGGGCGCAAUCCUGAUGCAGCCAUGCCGCGUGUAUGAAGAAGGCCUUCGGGUUGUAAAGUACUUUCAGCGGGGAGGCGUUACCCGCAGAAGAAGCACCGGCUAACUCCGUGCCAGCAGCCGCGGUAAUUC